UUGGCUCAGAACGAACGCUGGCGGCAGGCCUAACACAUGCAAGUCGAACGGCAGCACAGAAGAGCUUGCUCUUUGGGUGGCGAGUGGCGGACGGGUGAGUAAUGUCUGGGAAACUGCCCGAUGGAGGGGGAUAACUACUGGAAAUGGUAGCUAAUACCGCAUAACGUCGCAAGACCAAAGUGGGGGACCUUCGGGCCUCACACCAUCGGAUGUGCCCAGAUGGGAUUAGCUAGUAGGUGGGGUAAUGGCUCACCUAGGCGACGAUCCCUAGCUGGUCUGAGAGUGAUGACCAGCCACACUGGAACUGAGACACGGUCC
rnacentral:rRNA from 1 species